UACGUAGGAGGCAAGCGUUGUCCGGAGUUACUGGGCGUAAAGCGUGUGUAGGCGGUCGGAUGCGUCCGGUGUGAAAUCUCCCGGCUUACCUGGGAGGGGGCAUCGGAUACGGUCGGACUUGAGGGCAUCAGAGGCCAGUAGAACUCCCGGUGGACCAGUGAAAUGGGUAGAGAUCCGGAAGAACACCGGUGGCGAAGGCGGUCUGCUGGGGUCGAACUGACGCUGAGGCGCGACAGCGUGGGGAGCAAACAGG
rnacentral:rRNA from 1 species